AUGGACUUCACAAGUCUCACCAUGUUGUGGUGGGCCAUAGCUCUUCUUUUCAUCACCGUAUUAGCCACCAAGAUCUCAAGAGCAAGUAUCACCAACAUUGAUCCACAAUGUACAACAGGUCAACGUCCACCGGUAGUCCAUGAAGCUGCUCUCUUAAAACUAGUGCCUACCCUGUUGAAGAAGGGCCUACCGGCAAUGAUCAAUGAUCUAUAUGUCAAGUAUGGAAGUGUCUUCACAGUAAGUUGCUUGGGAGUGACCAAGGUGACACUCUUGAUCGGGCCAGAGGUGAUGGCUCAUUUCUUCCAAGGUUUGGAGUCGGAGAUCAGCCAUGGUAACCUUUUUGAGUUCACUGUGCCCAUGUUUGGCGAGGCGGUUGGUUAUGGAAGAGAUACCGCUACCCGAACAGAACAGAUGAGCUUCCACAUCGAAGCACUGAGGCCUUCAAGGUUGAGGAGCCACGUAUAUCCCAUGCUUCAAGAAGUGGAGGGUUACUUUGCAAAAUGGGGAGAGGAAGGCAUAGUUGAUAUAAAGCUUGAGUUCGAGAAGUUACUGAUGUUGAUCUCAAGCCGAUGUUUGCUCGGUAAAGAGGUUCGAGAGAACAUGUUCGAUGAGGUAUUCAGGCUUUUUCACGAGAUUGAAGACAACGGUGUAACAUUGAUCAGUUUCUUGUUCCCAUAUCUUCCAACUUCAGCAAACCGGCAGCGUGAUAGAGCGCGCAUCAGGCUAACACAAAUCCUCUCCGAUGUCGUUGAGUGCCGUAAGAGCUCCGGCACAGUUGAGGAGGACACACUGCAGAAACUAAUUGACUCCAAGUACAAAGAUGGUCGCCCUACAACAGUAGCUGAGGUAGUCGGGCUGAUCAUUGGCUUACUGUUUGCUGGAAAACACACCAGCUCUCACACUAGUACUUGGACUGCAGCUUGUCUACUUAGCCAUCCAACCUUCUUGAGAGCUGCCAUUGAGGAGCAACAACAAAUCAAUAACAAAUACAAGGACAAGGGGCUAGACUACAAUGCAUUUAUAGAGAUGGAUACAUUGCAUUGUUGCAUCAAGGAGGCUCUAAGGAAGCAUCCUCCAACACCAAUGUUGGUUCGCAUGGCACAUAGGCGCUUCACGGUGAAGACAAUCGAGGGCAAACAAUAUGACAUUCCACAAGACCACAUUGUAGCAAGUCCUACUAUAGUCAACAAUAACAUCCCUUAUAUCUAUAAGGAUCCUGAGGUAUAUGACCCGUGCCGGUUUGGCCCUGAAAGAAGAGAGGACAAAAUAGGCGGCAAGUUCUCGUACACCUCAUUUAGCGGUGGACGACAUGUUUGCACUGGGGAGGCCUAUGCUUACAUGCAACUUAAAGUGAUAUGGAGCCAUUUGUUGAGGAACUUUGAGCUGGAACUGAUCUCUCCUUUCCCAAAGACAGACUGGAGCAAGUUCUUGCCAGAGCCACAAGGAAAACUUCUCGUUAGAUAUAAGAGAAAUGGCGUUGUGCAUCCACUUAAUUAG
rnacentral:rRNA from 1 species